UACAGAGGGUGCAAGCGUUAAUCGGAGUUACUGGGCGUAAAGGGCGCGUAGGCUGGUAUUUAAGUCGAUUGUGAAAUCCCUGGGCUUAACCUAGGAAUUGCAGUCGAUACUGAAUAUCUAGAGUAUGGUAGAGGAAAGUGGAAUUCUCGGUGUAGUGGUUAAAUACGUAGAUAUCGAGAAGAACACCAGUGGCGAAGGCGACUUUCUGGACCAAUACUGACGCUGAGGCGCGAAAGCGUGGGGAGCAAACAGG
rnacentral:rRNA from 1 species